ACGAGCUGCCAUUUUGGUGUGCUGAAAACAGUAGCAUGUCAGGGACUCAUCGCUCAACAGACAAUGACGCUCUUGCGUUAUUGGCGCUCAAAUCCGCUCCGUCGAGUCCAUCUCGGGUGGUAUGGAGUCCAGAGAGCAAAGGAACCGCAAUUGCGCGGUUGGAAGGAAGAGAGUUCGAAUAUACGAUGCGACAGCCACGGAUUUCCAUAGGCCGAAAUAGCAGCAAGGGAGAGGUCGAUGUCAAUAUGGGCCUCUCAAGUUUUAUUUCACGAGUGCACUUAGAAGUUUUUUUCGAAUACCCAAAUUUCUUCAUGAAAUGUAUGGGUAAGAACGGAGUAUUUAUCGAUGGAGUUUUUCAAAGGAAAGGAGCACCUCCACUGCAGUUACCUAAAACGUGCGCACUUCGAUUUCCAAGCACUAACAUUCGCAUCCAGUUUCAGUCAUUGGUAGAGGAUGUUGCUCCACCAGCACCAGUUCCUAUAAUUCCCUCACCAAAGAAGAGAGUUCCCACAACUCUAAAAAUUCUUAUUCCAGAACCAGAUGCUGUAGCUAGCAGUCCCUGUAUUUCUCCAACAGGCACAAUAAGUGCUGCAAACUCCUGUCCAACAAGUCCUCGAGCAGGUACUCGGCUGUCAGUCGUUCCAGAUCUGCGAGCUGCAGCAGCAUAUGUUGCUGCACACCCAAGAGAAGAAAAAGAAACUCAACCUAGUGGAGAUGACUCCACCCCUAAAGAUGAUUCUAAGCCACCAUAUUCAUAUGCACAGCUUAUUGUUCAAGCUAUAACCUCAGCAGAUGAUAAACAGUUGACACUGAGUGGCAUAUAUGCAUAUAUCACAAAAAAUUAUCCAUACUACCGAACAGCAGACAAGGGUUGGCAGAAUUCGAUCAGGCACAACUUAUCCCUCAAUAGGUAUUUUGUCAAAGUUCCACGAUCUCAAGAAGAACCAGGAAAAGGAUCUUUCUGGAGAAUUGAUCCUACUUCUGAAUCCAAACUAACUGCUCAGGCCUUUAGAAGGCGCAGACAGCGAGGCGUGCCUUGCUUUCGCACACCUUUUGGUGGUCUUUCUUCCAGGUCUGCACCAUCUUCACCCAGUCAUAUGGCAGGUACAAUAACCCCAGACAGCAUGUCUCGAGAGGGUAGUCCCAUUCCUGAAGCUAGCUCUGAGAUGGAAGUAACUCAGACAAGCUUAGCUCCAACCCCAGUCAUUCCCACCUUGGCUGAGCUGAAGUAUUCCCAGUCAGCUCCUGGCUCUCCAGCUGGCUCCCGAACAAUGUCACCAGUGACAGUGAUGUCUGGUACUGUCCCAGGCGUAGCAAUGCAUCAGUUGCCCUCUGUAGUUGGACAGCCCAAGCAAUACAAUCAGAUUCUUGCCAAUGGCCCAGCUACUGCAAAGAUGGCCAAUGGCACUCACAUAGAAAUUAAAAAGGAGACACUUGAUGCUGCUCAGGGUGUGGUGUCCUUGAGCGGCGCCUCACAGAAGAUUGCCUCUCUGAUGGCCACUGCUAGCCAGAACCAGUUUACAUCCCAGACAGGUGCCCCAGCUCCAGGCACUAUGUUGGUGCGCAGCUUCAUGUCUCCUACAGGUCAACCCCAGUUUGCCUCUGACACCUCAGCCUCAACUACUACCAUUGCAGGAGUUGCCCUGGCUGCAGCGCCACCCCUGGCUUUAGUGACAGGACAGCAAGGAGUGCAGCUUCUCCAGCCUGUGAGCCUAGGCCAGUCAGUACUUGCACAGCAGGUGCCUUUGCAAAGUCAACAGCAUCAGCAUCAAGAAGGGCUUAGUCAUGCAUGGGCCACAGCUGAGCAUGGUGAUCUUAAGCCUCAGGCUCAUAUGCUAACUGUAGGUGGAGCUCAUACCAGUCUCAAGCGUGUGGCAGAGGGAGAUGGAGGAUCAGAGGGCAAGCGUUUGAAGGACGAAUCCUCUGCAGACAUGAAAACAGAAUCUGCUGAAUGAAAAUAUGUUUUGACAGAUGGUUUCUUCAUUUGUCAAGACCGGUGUGAUGGUUGCUGUAGGAGCGUUAUACGAAAACUCUGUUUACUGCACCCUCAUUUCAGGCUCUGUGACAUUGAAGGUUCAGUUUGCUGAUAAAUACUUCAAACUGAAAGAGAACAUUAGACAACUUGUAUCUGAGGAAACUGGCCAGAUGUCUGAAACCCAAGGUUUGCAAGGUAAUUGUGUGGUUUUGUAUUCACUUUCAGCAGGUGAUGUUCAUCUGUAUUUUUAUAACAUCAUCAGAUCAAAUUCAGUUGUAGCAUCUUUCAGUCAAUAUUUGAAUGAUGUCUUUAGUCAAAGGCUGUGUUUUGUGUGUGUCCUUAAGUGCAGGUGUAUACAUGAAGUACGUGUGUGGGCAUGCAUGCUGGCAUGCGAAUAAGUGCUUACAUAGUGAAUAUGAGCAAAGGUACAGAAAGAAAAGUGUAUAUGUGCAGAAAGUAGUUUAGGCAGCAAACCUGGCGAUGACAAAAUUAUAGAAAUAUCAUGUUCACUUACCCAUAAUGUGUUUGAAUGAAGUGCAGUUUAUACGUGACAGGUGUGUCUGUAAGGGGAAAGAAUAGAGUCAAGUGUAUUCUCAAGAAGGUUUUUUUUUUAAUUGCCAGUGGUGCAUUUUCGUCCACCAGUUUUAUGUAACCCAGUUUUUGUACAGCAUCAAGAAUAUUCCCUACUGAAAUUUCAGGACCCGUUUGAUUGUCACAGUAAAUAAUCUGUUCCACUUUUUCUAACUGUCCAUUUUUAUUUGCUUAAUCUGUUUUUCAUUGUUGUUCUUUUAACAAAAUUCAUUUUGAUUUGUGGAUCAUGUGAUUUGGAUGUAGAAACUUCGCUCAACUCUGUUUCAGAAAUGUUAUUAAAUCAGAAAGAAUGUUUAUGAUGUCAUAGAGCACACAAUGAUACGUGAUUCACUGCUUGUCUCAUCACUGUAAUAGCCUAAGGCACAUCAUUAGGUUUGUAAGAUGAUAGUUUUCAUGAACUUUAAAUUCUGGACUUUGAUGAGUUAGAUAACCACAUGAUCGUGGUUAGUAAAGAGAAAAAUCUUGGGGACAGAGUUUCCUCUGUUUUUAUGUGUAAAGUGCUAACUUUUGCAUAUAUGCAGAAGACUGAUUAAUGUGUUUAAUCUAUGAGAUCAAGAAAUUUCUGGUUGGCAAUAUACUUUCAUAUUUUGACCUCAUUAGAUCAGAUAAUGCGAAAUUUUGACUAAUGUUACUAAAGCAUUUAAUGAAAAAUACAUACUUCUUACUUGAAUAAAGGGCCAGGUUAGACCUGUUUUCAAUUGGCUUUCAACUCCAGCACUGAAAAGGUGAGCAGUAAGUGUUCUGCAUUUGUAAAUUCUAUAUUAACAAGGAUUAAGAUCUUUUCAAUCGCAGUGAUUUUAUCAUUUUUGUUGCUGUACUUGUGUUUGAUAAGAGGAUGUGGGAGUGCAAGCAGAUUGAGUCACUGUAGCACAUAGUUGAUUUGUUUUCUUUUAUUGCUAACCUGGAAAGCUUGAGGGGGCAUCUGCUAUAAGUUACAUUUAGUUUAUUUAGGUAAGGUAGGUCCACACAAAAGACAUUGAUUAAUUUAUAUACAUUUGUUAUUUUGUUUUAUAUUGUCUUAAGUCUGACAACUUUUUUGGAGGGUUUGUCUUAGGAAACAUGAGAAGUAUUACAUCUGCACAAAGAAGAAAAGUUUUUUUUUUUGUUUCUGUUUUUUUUGUUUUUUUUUUGUUAAGGAAUUUAUACCUGCUUUUGGCAGACUAAACUGAGGUACAUGUGCAUGUCCAAAUGUUGAACACUAUUAAGCAUACAGUUUACCUGUUAAAAUUAUUUUUAAAAAUGUUCAUUCUUUAUAUGGUGUAAUAAAGUAGAAUUGCAGAUGCUUGUAUUAUAAAAGUUUGUUUUUCUGCUCUUAAUUUCAAUGAUGUCAUAGGUUUUUUGCUAUUGACAGACAAGCUAAAUUAGAAAAAAUGAACACAACAGAAUGAAGGGUUGGAAUUUAAUUGAAUAAUGUAUGUAGAUUUCCACUGUAAAUAUAUGAUAAGUGAAAUGUGUAAUGUGAAGUCAUAUCUAUGUUGGCUUUGCUUUAUUUAAACAAAUACAAAAUAUAUAUGGAACUAUUUGAUUGUUUCCUGUUUAAAAGGAGAACUAUUUAGUUCAAGUACUAUUUUCAAAGCCUCUCAAAACUAUUCAAAUCUUGGGUUAAUACUUUUCUGGGUAAUAGCUAAGGUAUUUUGGGGGAAAGGCAUUUUUAAGUUGACGGUGAGGUGUGCUGUCUUCUAUGUUUACAAACAUUUCAAGUGCAAGUGGGAGAACUUAAGAUUUUAUUUUUAAUGGCUGCAAAGAUCCUUAAACUUUUAUUCAGCAGCCAGCAACCCCCAUCUGUUCCCUUGGUAUUUAUUGUAGUAUGCACAUGAAACUUAAAAUCCUGAAGUAAACAUUUGUAAUAUGCCCCGAAACAUGACCCAUUCCCAAAGUCAUUGAUUUGUGAAGUAGCACAAUGUGUCUUGUAUCAUCCUAUUGUUUGUGUCUGCAUUAGUGCUUUAAAGACAUUUAAUCAUUACAGAAGGGGCCUUUUACCAAAUAAAUGCAGCAGUGUUUAUGUUCACUUGGUAGCCAAGGCAAGGUGUAUUUGCAAGAGUGAAACGUAGAAACAUAGUUAAUAUUUAUCUGGCUGUAAUUGCUCCCCCAAAGAAAUCACUGACAAAUGGUUAAGACAGCGCUGUCAUUUUGCAGCUCUGUUUCUCCUGUUGAGCAAGGUUUUUUAUUUCCCUAAAAUCUGCAUCUGUUGUACAAUGACCAGAGAUCCAUUUAGAGUUUCAAGUGUACCUGAUCUGCUUUCUAGUUUUCAUUUACUAAUCAUGAACAAAAAUAUCAGAUAGUUCUUUAGGCUGUGCACUUACUGCUCCCUUUCUCUUGUAGAAUAAAGGUCAUUAUAGCUUAAGUAGAUAGGUAUGCAAGGAAAGAAUUUAAGGUGUUUGGGAAAGAAUGCUUAGAUAUUGUUUUUCACAAUUGACAACCCUUGAUCCAUGUGUAAUCAGGAAAGGGUGAAUCUCAUCAUUUCCAAAAAUGCCACUGUAUAGAGACUUUGUAUCUGCUUUGAUGGGAAUCAUGCCAUUGUUUUGCCUGAUUUUGUGAGAACUAUGUUUUUUCUGUUCGUAUGAAAUUAGCUGCAUUUAAACAUUUGAUGAUCAUUGUUGUAGUUAUCAACAUAUCUCGCAUUUCUCUUGUAAACAGUGUAUGUCUAUCUCUUGAAAGUUUGACAUGCUGGUUUUUUUUUUUGGUUUUUUUUUAAUCUAAUUCUUCUUCCACCUAUAUAGCAGAAGAUUGUUGUAUUUUCUGUUUCUUAGUUAGAAAUCUGUCCAAUAUCUUACCUUGGCUGUCAGUUAUGUUUAUACAACAAUAUAUACAAUUUCUCAGAAAUACACAGUGCAGGUGAAGACGAGGAUCUCUUAAAUUCACACUGCAGCACAUUUUAAGGUUUCACAUUCUAUUGAUGGCAUCUGUUUACAGGGCUGGACACUUUAUGGUGAUAUAUAGUCUUAGUUGCUGGCUCUGUGUAAAACACUAAUUUCCUCCCCACCCCUCUCACAUUCUAUUGAGGAAAGAUGUGUAAACGGCCUUAAGCAAAGUUCCACAUUAAAAAUAAGAUUUAUUGCAUUAUAUAAAGAGUUGUUGGCUUGUGUUUCAGCUGUAUAGAAAAACAAACUACAUAGUUUAAAAUUUGUGGGAUAAUUCAUCACCAAAACCAUUGUUACUUAAUAAGUCUUUAAGGGAAAUAGCCUUAGGCUGCCUUACUCUCAUGGGCUUAGCUCUCGUCUCAGGCAUUUUGUUCUUUUUCUGCAUGUGGCAUCAGUGAUAUAGCCUUAGUUGCUGGCUUGGUGUAAUACACCAUUGCUUCCCACCUCCCCAUCUGGCUGCCUUAAGGUCUGUUCCACAAGGAGUAGGGAUUGCAUAAAUAAUAAAAACAGUAUUUUGCGGUGCUUCUUUUUGUGCCUUUAGCUAAGGCAUUGGGAAGUUUUCAGUUCGGUGUGUUCAGUUGCAAGCUAUGCUGUAAAGACAAUUCUUCCUUUAAAAACCUCAACAAAAAAUGUGGAGGCUGUGGCAAAAGAAGGAAGUGAAAAACCACCUCAGAAUUUAACAAACCUGAAAAUAAGGUACAUGCUGUUUAAAAAAAAAUUAUUUAAUCUAUCAUCAUAAUUUUGAACAGCUUUAAAGUGAUCAUUUAAUUUUUACAUUAAAAUAUGCAUUUAAAGAUAAGUUUUGUGGUAAGUUGCUUAAAAAUAUAUACUCCUUUUUAUCUUUGUGCAUUGUAAACUACUUGGAGACUCAUUGUAACAUUCCAGGAGUCAUAAGUUUUUGUGAUUUUCUUUCUGCAAACUUCAAAUAUAAAACAUUUGGGUCUGUAUCAUGCCAAAUUGUCAAAAGUAACUUGGGUUGUAUAGAGCUGCCUAAAGAUAUGAUUAUAAUGGCAUACUGUAGCAGCAGAUGUAAAGGUACAGAUUACUCAUGCAGUAAAUUCUUGUACCAACAGUUUAAACUUUAGGCUACUAGUUGCAAAUUCUCUUGCACGAAUCCCCUCAUACCCUUACAUUGUUGCAUUAAAUGAUGUCUGGGUAAAUCAAGGAUGAUUGUGUGAGAUAUAUCUAUAAAUACCUUUUUUUUUUUUUUUUUUUUUUUGUAAAUUUCAUUUCUACAUCUUUGUGAACAUUUUGUUCGCUUUAUGAUAUAAUAAAAAGGGGCAAGAGGAAAAAUGGAAAGCUUCGAAUAUGAAAUUAAUGUUAACACCUGCUGAUGUACAUUGACUUUCAUAAAUGCAGUUUUGUAUAUUUAUACUAUGGUCAUUAUCAACCUCGGGUUGGUCCGAUAGCGCAACGAAUAGCGCCUGUCACUAGUACAGUGAGGAUUGGCUGUCAUGGGUUGAGAUCUCGUCUCGAGCGUGGGCAUUUGUUUACAGGGCUGACUGCUUUGCCGUUAUAUAGCCUUAAUUACUGGCUCGGCGUAAAACGCCUCCCCCUUCCUCAUUAUAAAGUUUAUACAUUACACAUUACAAACUGAAAAAAACAUGCUGGAGGAGCAUUGUAGACGGAGAAAGGUGAUGAUGCACACGUUUUGCUAUUUUGAUUUUUAAGAUUUUUUGUGUAAAAGUUUUUUUCAAAACAAAAAACGUAGAACCAGCUAGAUUAUUUCAUGCGGAUGCCAAGCAAUUGUUUGACAUGAUGCUUCUUUUUUUUCUGCUUUUCUCAGAAUGAGUUCCAGCAUAAUUGUAGAGCAUAGCCCUUAUGCAUCCUCCUUCCCUGGGUCAUCUCAUGACCUCGGUAGCUUGGCAUACAAUGCCAACCGCCCUUAUCCAUUCAACCAUAGAAAGUUUCGGUGAUUAAAAGUUCGGCAUGCACAUCUAAACAGAUUUUCAAGAAAGAUAGAAUGGAAAGGAUGUCUUUAUCAUUAAAUGUGCUUAUAUGCCCUUUAUCACAUUUGAUGGGGACAACAUCACAAAAAUAAAUCACACGGCAUAGAGGUGGGGGCAAGACAUGCUACUUGAUGUCCAAAGCAUGGAUGUGUAUAGGUGGGCUGCUGUCUGUCUGCCAAGACCAACGCUUAGCCUUUUGCAAAGUUCUCCCUUGCUUGUCUCGGCGAACAGUAACAAUGAAUGUGAUUAAACCGGAAGCUUUGUAUACUCCUGCCUCAUUUUAGUAGUAAACUGGAAAAAAAUCGUCUGCCAGCAGUCCAGUAAUACAAGUUCUUGGUCCAAAGUACUAUUGCUUUAUUCGACCUGAAGUUUCAAGUAGCGGUCUUCAUAUUAAUCUGAGCAAGCUUGGAACCAAGUACAGUAUAAAGCUUGAAGGAAUCGAACAACUAAAUGCUGGAGGUGGAGGGGCAAAUCAAACACUAGGCUGGGUACUUGACUGCAAAAUUUUAAAAAUUGUGAUGUGACUGAAGGUUUUUUUUUUUAAGUAUUGGCAUAAUAUUUAUCAGUCUCAGCUGACAACAUUUUUCGUUGAAAAUGCAUGUGAUAAAAGGAGUCGCAUGGAAUGUGAAAAUAAUGCCUUGCUAAAUAUGCCAAAUUUGAAUUCAUCAAUUUUGCGUCUACUUAAGUUUUAAGUUUGCCUCUUAUUUCCGGUCUUCCACCACUUUCCCAGAUCAGCCAGCCUCGACAUCUCUUGUUGCCUCAGGAUAAUUCUUAGUCGAAUUUGUUUACUUAACUGAGAAACUGAUGAGAGUGUGAAUUGAUUACAGUUAAAAAGAAAACGAAACUUGUCAUUUUAAGUCCUGGAAUGGCAGUGAAUCCACUGCAACAAAAAGGGUGUGUUAGAGAAAUGUUAACUGUCAAUAAUUAAACCGUUUUGCACUUAAUGAGGUAUGAGUGGGGGGAGGGGGGAGGCGAGAUGUGCCAACAGAAAAUGUUCUGAAUAAUAUUGGUUUGAGAGUUGGGGGGGGGGUUUGAAGGUGUUUUGUGAGUGAAUAUGAACGGUUUUAAAAGCCAUUAUUAGACAAAUCGCUUUAUUUUCGCGAGUGUUAACUGUGCACACGUGAAAUUUUCCAUUCAUGCAUGCACACACGUCAGUGUUGCCUUUAGUGAUGUUUCUAUACGCUUCUCUAAUAGUCACCAGUGCCAUCUUGUGGCAGCCGUACACUUUUGAAGAGUUUGUUGGUAUGCGGUGAACGUGUGAAGUACAAUUGAACACGGAAUAGUUCGUAAUCGGGAGUAAACAUUCAUGUGUAUAGUAGACACCGUUUUAAGGCAUUUUCAUUGCUGUUGUUAGUGUGCUUUGUUAAAAUGACACUUAUGUCCAUGAAUGUUUGCUUGUAUAAAAGAAUAAACAUUUGGGUUUCAUAACUUGA
rnacentral:misc_RNA from 1 species